ensembl:lncRNA
UGGUGUUUAAAGGAGUCACUACUAUGAUGCCCAAACACCACCAGCAGCCUGAGCGACACACAUACGCACACACACACUAUUUGAAAACACUGAACUCCACGUCUAUUUUAUCUGAUUUGUUUCACAGAGCUACGUGAAAGCAUAUUCUCCAAAACACAAUUGAAGCCAAAAAUCCACACAGCCCACCAACAGUACUCCAUCUGUAAAACAACAGCAAUAACAAAAAAAACCCCAAAACAAAACCCACAUCUUACUGUGAGCCAGUCACUGCCUCUCUAUGAAACAGUGAGUGAUUGACACCAUCACUGAUGUUCUUGUUAAUAAGUCUAUAAACACCAUGAGCUGGCUAACUAACAGGCUGGUGCCAUGUUAGAGCCCCGUCUGGCGCAGUGAAAAAAAACGAAAAACAAAGCACAAAGCCUGAUUAACUGCUUCUGUUUUUAAUAUGGGGUUACAGGGAAAAUGUACUCCUAAUAAAAUUAAAAAAAUAAAAUAAAAAAUACAAAUAUAUCAUCAAAUAUGUUAAACUGAGAGACGCUGCAGGCUGGCUGAGACAUAGGAGUCCUGUGAUCAGUCUUACAGUUUUUACUCAAAAUAAAUAAAUACAUUACACAUUAAACCCGUUUUAAGCCAUGCAUUCCAACUCUUAUAAACUGCCUGCAGAAAGUCAUGUGUUCUACUACUCAUAACAUUACUUUUGUGCAAACAUUGCCUGCAAUGCAUUGUCUUGUAAAAGCCAAUUAGCAAUAUAAUAAAAAACCUUUUGAUCACAUGUCAACAGGAAUGCCUGUCCUUAAAAGGAGAACAAGAUCUUGAAUGUUUAAAAUCAUCUCUGAUCAUCACUUCACAGACAAACCAAGCAGUGCUGUGGGCUCAGGUGGUCAGAGAGUCUUUACUAGAUUUUGGAUCACAUUCAUAAACUUUCAUGCAGUAAAUUUAGAUUUAUAUCUCUCCACUCCUACACAGAUCCACCAUUUUUGCACAAAAUGUAUAUUUGCUCAAAUUUAAUGUGGCACUUGAAUGAUGUGCUACCUGCG